CAAGUUCACGAGUGGACUAAAAGGCACUGAUAACAAAACCAUCUUUGUUGUGAUGUUUGCAGGCGAAAUGGGUCGUCAUUUGCCCCAGGGCCUUGUGAAGCUCUGGAGUCGCUUCAAGCGUUGGAGAAACCGGAGGAUCCAGCCGGAGCAGCCGGUGGGCGAAGGUGGUCCAGAUGGGCCUAACGGCGUCCACGUCCAUCCUUCACCCACUCCUCAGGUGGGUGACUCAUACACACCCCAUCCACCUUCUCCUCCACGCUCACUUGUUUUUUGGUCUGCUGGUCCUUCUGUUUCCCCUUCACCCCCUCCUGUUCCUUGUUGCUUUGAUGUUCUUGCUUUUUCUCCUUCACCCUGUCCUACUCCUUCUUUUUCUUCUUCUUCUUUCUCACUCUCUUCUGCUUCCUCUGGUACUUGGUGCUCUGACAUCUUUCCCUUUUCUCCUUACCCUUCUCCUACUCCUUCUUCUUCUUUUUCCUCACUCUCUUCUGCUCACUCUGCUUCUCUGUGCUCUCCUCCUCACUCUCUCACCUCUCCUUUUUCUUCUUCCUCGCCCUCCUCUGCUUACUCUGGUACUUGUUGCUCUGCUGUCCUUCCCUUUUCUCCUUCACCCUCUGCUGUUCCUAGUUGUUCUGCUGUCUUUCCUUUUUGUCCUUCACCCUCUCCUACUUCUUCUUCUUCUUCCUCACCCUCUUCUGCUUACUCUUGUCUUUGUUGCUCUGAUGCCCUUCCUUUGUCCCCUUUACCCUCUCCUGUGACGGAGAGAGUGAAGGAGCUCAUCCAGCAGCUCAUCUUCCAGGAGAGGUAAGGAAGACAGUGAUGAGGAGGGGGCUGCUCUUGGAAGACUCAACUGUGGGACACUGUUUCCUACAGUGAAACCAGUCUUGGAUUUGACCCCAGGGCACCUUUUUUGUAGUUUUAUUUCUAUACCAUAAGUUUAAAUGUUCAUUCCAACUUUGAGAACUAGCCUUUGCGUCUGGCUGGGCAGUUUUCAGGUCCCCGGCAGCGUCUGGCGCUGGGACCUUUUUUUCUUUCCUGGAUGAACACAAGUUUAAAUGUUAAUUUUUACCCUGAGAACUAGCCUUUGCGUCUGGCUGGGCGGUUCUCAGGUCCCAGGUAGCGUCUGGCACCUGGGCCAGUUUUUGCUGUUUUUUAUAUUUUAGCAUGGCGGUUGGAUGGACUUUUCUUUCACCCUGAAGGCUGAGUUCAGCGCCUGGCAGGGCCGUCGAUCCCCCCAUGCAAGUUGCCCUAGCGUCUGGCGGGGUAGCUAUUAUGUUUCCUCCACAGCGAUAGAAGGUCAGCUCAGUCACAGUGGCACUGGGGACACAUGUCGUCUCCCACUGAAGCUCCUCGGUGGCAGAUGACUGCAGUGUCAGGUGUUAUGGAGGAGACACAUGGCUGUCUGCAGUCCACAUCCUGCUCCACACUACAGGGAGCAGUGACUGACGGCUACUGACCAUUACGUCUGUCUUUCCAGUGGACAAAGGUUUAUUAGGAGAAGGAGACGAGGGAACCAGGAGAUGAGCAACGAGACAACCAAUCUGGACCAAGAGCCGGCAUUCCAAGCAGCCCAGGCCUAAGCUGUCAAACCGAUCGCAGGAACCACAGCUGCACAAUUACGUUCAGUGCAGCUGUGGAGGCUGGAGAACUGUGACAACAGAGACCAUAGGACCACCUGGAGAGAAGUUGUCACCUGUGUCUAUGGAGGCUCAAUGCAAUAACAUCCUGCAGCUCUUCGCUCUCUCCAGCCUCUGGUCCAGACAGAGGGGAGCCUCCCAGUCCUAAUCACAUAGAGGAAGUGUCUUUAUCACUGCUUUCUCUGUGCUGCUGGGUUUGGGAGACUCUUCACAUAACCAGUGGUGUUGGCCUCCAUCUGUAAACAGAAGACGGUCAAGACAAGUGGUUGUCAUAAAUACUGUGUGUGUAUAUAUAUAUAUAUAUAUAUUUAUAUGUAUAUAAUGUCAUCAAGAAAAUAAAAGAACUGCUUUGUCUGAA